rnacentral:rRNA from 1 species
UGCCCUUUAGUGGGGAACAACCAGGGGAAACUCUGGCUAAUACCGCAUGAGACCGGAAGGUGAAAGCGGGCCGCAAGGCUCGCGCUGAAGGAGGGGUCCGCGUCCGAUUAGCUAGUUGGUAGGGUAAUGGCCUACCAAGGCGACGAUCGGUAGCCGGCCUGAGAGGGUGAUCGGCCACACUGGAACUGAGACACGGUCCAGACUCCUACGGGAGGCAGCAGUGGGGAAUUUUGCGCAAUGGGCGAAAGCCUGACGCAGCAACGCCGCGUGGAGGAUGAAGGUCUUUGGAUUGUAAACUCCUGUCAGCAGGGAAAAAGGGACCGGGUCUAAUACGCCCGGGACUUGAUUGUACCUGCAGAGGAAGCCCCGGCUAACUCUGUGCCAGCAGCCGCGGUAAUACAGAGGGGGCAAGCGUUAUUCGGAAUUAUUGGGCGUAAAGGGCGCGUAGGCGGCCUUGCAAGUGGCGGGUGAAAU